ensembl:lncRNA
UAAACUUUGAUUUAAAUGAAAGAAAUCUUUCUUGUUAAAGGAAUACCCUUCUAGCUAACAAGACUCCUCACCUUUGAGUGCCUAUUAGGUAACUGCAUUGCCAUGCUUGUCUUAUAUAAUAAAGUGGGAACAGUCAUAAAAUGAAGUUAAUUAUCCUUACUGCCCUUGGAGAAGCUUUUGUUCUUGUUAGUUGCCUGUCAUCCUCUUGUAGGGAUGCUGAUGUUGUGAACCUCCAUCACUAUGCUAGUUACCUCAAGAGGACCUGGGUUCUGUUCCCAGCAACCACAUGGUGGCUCACAACCAAUCUGUAUAUCUAGUUCCAGAGGACCUGAUGAAAGUAAUUUUUUUUUUAAGAAAGAAAAUAAGAUAACCUCCAGGUGAAUACAAAGAAGGAAACUUUUCAGAAGAGACUUG